AUUUUUUAUUUCCUUGGACAUGAAACUCUCCAAAUCAUUCAUGACAAACGUCACGCGAUAAAUAUCAAAUAAAGAAGGUCGUUUGAGACAGCAAGCUAAGCCAUUAUCGAACAAACACCUUUACCAUUCAACUUUCAAUUACUAAUUUAAUGCAAUUUGAUAAUCAAUUUUAAAACAAAUUAAAAAGGGGAGUCCCAGAAUUUUACAUCAAAAAACCAGUAAGGAAAGGAUUCAGUGGGGGCGGUGCCGACUAAAUAAUAAAUAACACCUACCCUAUAAGUACAAUUUGGAAGCCUUAUCCAAAUCAGAACCAAUUUUGAUGGACCUCGGCGGAUGUGUUUUCAGAUGGGUUGUCAAACAAUCAGUAUCAAAUUUCGAGCAAAUAUGUUCAAACUGUAAUAAAUACGGUUGACAAAUGACAUUAUAACAAAUUACCCAAAAUCUGACGAACAUAUAUAUGGGAGCUAUAUCUAAAUCUAAACCGAUUUCGAGAAAACUGCUUGGAUAUUGUGGUAGUCGAGGAAAGCGUUGUGCAAAUUUU